rnacentral:rRNA from 1 species
GCGUAAUAGCUCACUGGUCGAGUCGGCCUGCGCGGAAGAUGUAACGGGGCUAAACCAUGCACCGAAGCUGCGGCAGCGACACUGUGUGUUGUUGGGUAGGGGAGCGUUCUGUAAGCCUGUGAAGGUGUGUCGUGAGGCAUGCUGGAGGUAUCAGAAGUGCGAAUGCUGACAUAAGUAACGAUAAAGCGGGUGAAAAGACCGCUCGCCGGAAGACCAA